rnacentral:rRNA from 2 species
UGAUCCCAUUCCGAACUCAGAAGUGAAACGAAAUAGCGCCGAUGGUAGUGUGGGGCUUCCCCAUGUGAGAGUAGGACAUCGCCAGGC